rnacentral:tRNA from 1 species
GCGCGGGUAGCUCAGCUGGAUAGAGUGUUGGAUUCCGAAUCCAAAGGUCGCGGGUUCGAACCCCGCCCUGCGCA